rnacentral:tRNA from 1 species
GGGCCGUUAGCUCAGUGGUAGAGCGCCUCAUUUGCAAUGAGGAGGUCACCAGUUCAAUCCUGGUACGGUCCACCA